UCCUACAGCCGGGCUAGCCGUUCUAGGUGUACUUCCAGUACUACUACCACCGGCACGCAACUGUGAAGCAUGUUUUGGAGGAGGAGGCAAUUUUGUAACAUCGACAUAUUUUAUUGAUAAACGAGGCCCGGUUCCAUGAACGGAUCUAAUAUCAUACAUAGCAUCUUCGCCAUGUUCACCUAUAAAUCCCAUUUUGUUAGUAAUGUCUCAAAAAGCAAAGGAAAUAUGCUUACCUGGUAAUUUCGAUGUAAUCUUAUUCUGGAAGCGGUUCGCAGAAUCCGACAUCGAAUGCAGUGAUUUUUUUGUUGAGUCAAACAUUACGAUUAGUUUGAAAUUGAUUUCUCACAAUUGACGCAAAAACCGAUUUUACCCAAAUGUUUGCGGUGGACAGCUUCCGACUCUCGAAAUUCCUUAAGUCCGCUUUUCUAAGAGCCCAUA